rnacentral:rRNA from 1 species
UAAGGGAUAUUGGUCAAUGGGCGCAAGCCUGAACCAGCAACGCCGCGUGCAGGAUGACGGCCUUCGGGUUGUAAACUGCUUUUGUCGGGGACGAGAGAGGACGGUACCCGGCGAAUAAGUCACGGCUAACUACGUGCCAGCAGCCGCGGUAACACGUAGGUGGCGAGCGUUGUCCGGAAUCACUGGGCGUAAAGGGCGCGUAGGCGGCCCGGUAAGUAGGGGGUGAAAUCUCAUGGCUCAACUGUGAGGCUGCCUUCUAGACUGCCAGGCUUGAGCACAGUAGAGGCGAGUGGAAUUCCCGGUGUAGCGGUGGAAUGCGUAGAGAUCGGGAAGAACAUCGGUGGCGAAGGCGGCUCGCUGGGCUGUUGCUGACGCUGAGGCGCGAAAGCGUGGGGAGCAAACAGGAUUAGAUACCCAUGUAGUCCCUGAGCGGGCUGGCAAGGCGCAU